rnacentral:lncRNA from 1 species
AACAAAAGAUAUAUGGCAAGAAAUGCAACAUAAAUAUCGGAAUGUUUCAUGAAUAUGCAUGAAUAUGCGUGAUUUAUGUUUGAUGAAUGCUGACAAAACAGACAGUUCUAACACAGACAGGUUCAGGAGCAACGUCCGGUAUUAUACUUCCAGGGAAAAACCAGCUGGAGAGCCAAUCUGCGGAGAUCUAUAUGCUGUAAAGCAAAGAUCUGCAAGUACUGCUAGAGAAGCAGAGGAUCAAAGAUAUCAGGAAA